rnacentral:lncRNA from 10 species
GUUGCAGUGAGCCGAGAUCGCAUCACUGCACUCCAGCCUGGGCGAUAGAGUGAGACUCCAUCUCAAAAAAACAUAAACAAAAAAAAAAAAUAAAGGAGCCAGUUUGUAGGAAACGGGCCAGCUUUGCCCUGGCACCCAGCAGGUAUGCAACAACUGUGAGAGUGCCAGCUCAGAACACCCAGCCCCAGCACACAGGGACCAGGCCUGGCUCUCACACCCCAGUGGGUGCUCAGGCGAUCUAGUGGGAACUGGCAGCAGCCGCCCUAUCCCCAAAGAAAGGGGGCUGCUGAGAUAACUGCAGGGAAAGGGGGCACGACAUCUGUGGAAAAGGCCUUUGCCGUUUUCAGAUGUGUUGCAUGAAAUCUGCAGGGCUCGGGGGAGCCCAGGCCGUGCUCUCAACAGGACAGCAACGGGGCGGGCAGAUGUGGGGCCUUCCUCCACAACCAGCAAGUACUCCAGGGUUCUUUCUUUUCUUUUCGAGAUGGAGUCUCGCUCUGUCACCCAGGCUGGAGUGCAGUGGCACAAUCUCGGCUCACUGCAAGCUCUGCCUCCGGGGUUCACGCCAUUCUCCUGCCUCGGCCUCCUGAGUAGCUGGGACAACAGGCGCCCGCCACCACGCCCAGCUAAUUUUUUUCUAUUUUUAGUAGAGACGGGGUUUCACCGUGUUAGCCACGAUGGUCUCGAUCUCCUGACCUCGUGAUCCGCCUGCCCCGGCCUCCCAAAGUGCUGAGAUUACAGGCGUGAGCCACCGUGCCCAGCUCUUUU